rnacentral:rRNA from 1 species
UAGCCGACGUUGAGAGACUGAUCGGCCACAUUGGGUACGUGAGACACGGCCCAAACUACCUACGGGAGGCGAGCAGUAGGGAAUCUUCCACAAUGGACGCAAGUCUGAUGGAGCAACGCCGCGUGAGUGAAGAAGGGUUUCGGCUCGUAAAGCUCUGUUGUUGGUGAAGAAGGACAGGGGUAGUAACUGACCUUUGUUUGACGGUAAUCAAUUAGAAAGUCACGGCUAACUACGUGCCAGCAGCCGCGGUAAU